rnacentral:sRNA from 1 species
GGGCUGGUCGAAAGACCUGGGUCCAUCACGGGCGGGGAAGUUCCCC